rnacentral:rRNA from 1 species
ACUCAAAUGAAUUGACGGGGACCCGCACAAGCGGUGGAGCAUGUGGUUUAAUUCGAUGAUACGCGAAGAACCUUACCAAGGCUUGACAUCCUGCGAACCCCCAAGAAACUGGGGGGUGCCUUCGGGAACGCAGUGACAGGUGUUGCAUGGCCGUCGUCAGCUCGUGUCGUGAGAUGUUGGGUUAAGUCCCGCAACGAGCGCAACCCUUAUCGUCUGUUGCAAUUUCAGGCGAGACUGCCCGGGCCAACCGGGAGGAAGGUGGGGAUGAUGUCAGGUCAGCAUGGCCCUUACGCCUUGGGCUACACACGUGCUACAAUGGCCGGUACAAUGCGUUUUGCCAACCCGCGAGGGGGAGCUAAUCGUAGCAAAACCGGUCCCAGUUCGGAUUGAAGGCUGCAACUCGCCUCCAUGAAGUCGGAAUCGCUAGUAACCGUAGGUCAGCAUACUACGGUGAAUACGUUCCCGGGUCUUGUACACACCGCCCGU